GCCCGAUUAGCUCAGCCGGUUAGAGCGUCGUACUAAUACCAUACCUGUAAAUACGGUUAUUGUAUACGGUCAUGCGAAGGUCAACAGUUCAAUCCUGUUAUUGGGCA